GAGAACUUGCCCCUUCUAUGAAGGAGCUUGCCAUUGAAUGGGAGAGACAGGCAAUUCAACCAGGGACCACAGUGCAGAGUGAUCUGUCUCCAUCACUUUGGAUUAUGAACACCAGGAGUGAUAUACAAGAACAUAACAAAGAGUAUGAACUGAAGAAGACAGGUCAGGAAAGAUUGUUCUAAGCCUGAAACAAUCCAAAGGAAAGUAUCAUCACCUACUUAAGACUGGCAGUUCCAAGGAGAAGUACCAAAGCAUUAAGUACCUGGAGAAAACAUCUACAACAGUGGAAACUAAGAAACCCGCAAAUCACAGACAGGUAAGAUUAGAGUGAUUAUGUGUAUUUUGAAAGAGAUAAAUGUCAUAUUGAAGGCCCUCAAAGGCUGUGGUAACAAGGCUGAGGCACUCUGGUAAAUGUUGAAGGAUCUAAAAAUAGUAGUGAAAACUACCCAGUAUUUAACAAGACUCACAGAAUCCAUGAUGCCAGUACAGCUUAAGUAUAGUGGAGGUGAAAUGAGAAAUUGAAUACUCCACCCACCCAUAGUGCAGGAGACCAGAGACCCCACUGGACAUGUCCUGGGUGAGGAGUGAGGUUUUGGCUUCCGAGA